UUCCCCGGCCGGAGCCGGCCCGCCGCGCCGUCCAAUGCCCACCCGGAGCUGGAAGGAGGAGCCUGCGUAGAGUGCGUGUGAGCGGGCUGGCUCCGACAGGGUUUGACCGGUCGGGCGGUGCGUGUGCGAGAAGAAAGGAGAGCAGGUCGGAAGUAGCGGCGCCGAAAUGUUCCGGUGUGGCGGCCUGGCAGCGGGUGCUGUGAAACAGAAGCUGGCGCCCUUGGUGCGGACAAUGUGUGUCCAGGGUCCGAGGCAGAGGAAUCGGCUUCCAGGCAACUUGCUCCAGCGAUGGCAUGUUCCUCUAGAGUUCCAGAUGACAAGACAAAUGGCUAGCUCUGGUGCACCAGGGGGCAAAAUCGAUAAUUCUGUGUUAGUCCUUAUUAUGGGCUUAUCAACAAUAGGAGCUGGUGGAUAUGCCUACCUAACUAUAAAAGAUAACAAAAAGAGAUAUAAUGAAAGAAUUUCAGGCUUAGGAUUGACCCCGGAAGAGAAACAGAAAAUGGCUGCAUUAUCUGCUCCGGGAGGAGAUUCAAUUCCUCAGGUCCGAGUACCAAGUCAUGCUCCAUUCCUGCUCAUCGGUGGUGGCACUGCUGCCUUUGCUGCAGCCAGAUCCAUCCGGGCCCGGGAUCCUGGGGCCAGGGUACUAAUUGUGUCUGAAGACCCUGAGCUGCCAUACAUGCGACCCCCUCUUUCGAAAGAACUGUGGUUUUCAGACGAUCCAAACGUCACCAAGACACUGAGAUUCAGACAGUGGAAUGGAAAAGAGCGAAGCAUAUAUUUCCAGCCACCUUCUUUCUACGUCUCUGCUCAGGACCUGCCUCACAUUGAAAAUGGUGGCGUAGCCGUCCUCACUGGGAAGAAGGUGGUACAGCUGGAUGUGAGAGGCAACAUGGUGAGACUCAAUGAUGGUUCCCAGAUAACCUAUGAGAAGUGCUUGAUUGCGACGGGAGGCACUCCAAGAAGUCUGUCUGCCAUCGAUAGGGCUGGAGCAGAGGUGAAGAGUAGAACAACCCUGUUCAGAAAGAUUGGAGACUUUAGAACCUUAGAGAAGAUUUCCCGAGAAGUCAAGUCAAUUACGGUUAUCGGUGGAGGCUUCCUUGGUAGCGAAUUGGCCUGCGCUCUUGGCAGAAAGGCUCGUGCCUUGGGUACAGAAGUGAUUCAGCUCUUCCCCGAGAAAGGAAACAUGGGGAAGAUCCUCCCUGAAUACCUCAGCAACUGGACCAUGGAAAAAGUCAGACGAGAGGGCGUGAAGGUGAUGCCCAAUGCUUUUGUGCAAUCAGUUGGAGUCAGCGGUGGCAAGUUACUCAUCAAGCUGAAAGAUGGCCGGAAGGUAGAAACUGACCACAUAGUGGCAGCUGUGGGCCUGGAGCCCAAUGUGGAGUUGGCCAAGACUGGCGGGCUGGAGAUAGACUCAGAUUUUGGUGGCUUCCGGGUAAAUGCAGAGCUCCAAGCACGUUCUAACGUCUGGGUGGCAGGAGAUGCUGCGUGCUUCUACGAUAUAAAAUUGGGUAGGAGGCGGGUAGAGCACCAUGAUCAUGCUGUGGUGAGUGGAAGAUUGGCUGGAGAAAAUAUGACUGGAGCUGCUAAGCCCUACUGGCAUCAGUCAAUGUUCUGGAGUGAUUUGGGUCCUGAUGUUGGCUAUGAAGCUAUUGGUCUUGUGGACAGCAGUUUGCCCACAGUCGGUGUUUUUGCAAAAGCAACGGCACAAGACAACCCCAAAUCUGCCACAGAGCAGUCAGGGACUGGGAUCCGAUCAGAGAGUGAGACGGAGUCGGAGGCCCCUGAAAUCGCUCUUCCGGCCAGCAGCCCUGCAGUGCCCCAGGCCCCUAUGGAAGGGGAGGACUAUGGCAAAGGUGUCAUCUUCUACCUCAGGGACAAAGUGGUGGUGGGGAUCGUGCUAUGGAACAUCUUCAACCGGAUGCCAAUCGCUCGGAAGAUCAUUAAGGAUGGAGAGCAGCAUGAAGAUCUCAAUGAAGUAGCCAAACUGUUCAACAUUCAUGAGGACUGAAAUCCCCUAGUGGGUCAGCGGCAAGCGCUUCUCUGUGCCCGAUGGUGGCUCGCAAGAGGAGAGGGGCAUUUUGUAUUCAGCAGGCCUCCUCUGUGUGUAUGAGUGAGUUCCUGGUAUCAGUGAGGAAGACGGACAUGAAAAUGAAGAAGUACAAGACAAUGAACUGUGUUUAAUAUGAGACAAAAUACCGUGGACUCAUCAAGAGAUGUCAGUCUUUCUUUCGGUCUAGUCUGCUGUCCUUUGAUUUGACAACAUCCCCAUCAACACAUUACCCUGCUUCCUGCCAGUAUCUGAUGUAGAGCCAAACCUGGUUUCCUCCAACCCUUCCCCGAAAUUACCUUGCUUUGGCCCCAAUCCUUCGAGAAGUCCUUUCUAACACUCUCUGCUCCUCUACGGUGUGCAUGUCCCUUCACUGCACUGAGCAACAAACCCAAUUUGUUCCAUUGCAAGAAUGACCAGCACGGUACUCUCUGAGGGGACGGCAUUGAUGGUAAAGAAAGAGAGGGCCAGAAUUGCUUCCAAAAAACCCUCAACCAGGCAGACCCCCCCAGCAGUUCCUGCUUAGCCUGAAACUUUCCUGAAAACCUUACCUCAAUCCUACAAAGCCUCCAAGGUCUGUCUGUGUCUCUGCUGGGGAAACCCCAGAAAGUCACUUCUGGUGUCGGCAGACAGAGACAAAGGUCCCUGGCUCCUCACAUACUAUAUCUUGGCCUUUGCAACGCAAGACAGAGAUGCUUCUGGACAAACACGCAACGGGGGGUGAAGUUAUGAGUCCAUCCAUCCACAUGUAAAUGUAUUUCUUAGUCAGCCUGCAAGUAUUUGCUGUGCAAGUACCACAGGCCUCCUAUGACAGGCCCUGGAGAUAAGAAGAUGAGUAAUAGAGUCCCUGCCCUCAGUGGCUCUAUAACAGACAAAGCCACAGGAACUAUGAGCCCAGCCAAAAGUGCUUGGAAUCAAAUGGAUGCGUUCGGACUGAACUUCAUUACUCAGAACUUCCCAUCGUUUCCUUGGUCUGCUUCUAUUCAGUCUGGACUUUUCUUUCACUGACCAGAUCAUGGUUCCACUGCCACUCUCUGUGUCUCCUCUGUCACCUCCAUGGACAAAACAGCAAUCUGAUCAAUGGGCUAAAAUGAAUGCAUGCAAUAUGCUAAGGAUGGAUUAUGGAGUUGACGUUCUUCAUUCUUCUUUUCCAACAGAAAGAUACAGAGUUCAGUUGUUUUGCAUGUAGCCAAUCUGGGUUCAAUCCUCUGAAUAUCAGGGAGUAGUCACUCAAAUACUACACUCACCAUGCAUGGUCCAACGUACUUCUCCAAAGAUACAUUUUUUUUUCUUUUUGAGUCACACCCAGCAAUGCUCAGGGGUCACUCCUGGCUUUGCAUUCAAGAAUUACUCCUGGCGGUGCUCAGGGGACCAUAUGGGAUGCUGGGAAUUGAACCCGGGUCGGCUGCAUGCAAGCAAAUGCCCUACCUGCUCUACUAUCGCUCGAGCCCAAGAUACAUCUUUUUGGGGGAGGGGGAUCACACCCAGCAAUACUUAGGGGUUACUCCUGGCUUUGCAUGCAGGAAUUACUCCUGGCAGUGCUCAGGGGUAUGGGAUCCUGGAGAUGGAACCUGAGUUGGCUGUGUGCAAGGCAAACACCCUACCUUCUGUACAAUCACUCCGGCCCCCCAAAGAUACAUCUUGCUCUUUACUUUUUCUCAGUCCUAUUUGGGGAGUUGGGGGGAGGCACAUCUGGUGAUGCUCAAGAAUCUAACUCUGCACUCAGAAAUUACUCCUGGCAUCGGGAGAUCAUAUAUGGAUGCCGGGGAUCGAACCUGGGUAGGGUGCUUGGCUGCAUGUAAAGCAAGGGCCCUACCCAUUGUACUAUCUCCAGUCACAGUCCCUUUGUCUUUCCUCCGUUCUCUCAGAAUCUCUGAGGUGUUACCCUGCGCCACCUCUCCCCUUGUGUUCCUUCUCUGGGGGGUUUUGUCUUCAGGAUCUGGAAAGUGCUCCCCAACUGUGUUUUACAUCUCCAGAGGCAAACAGAAAAAACCCCCUCUUAAAUAAAAUGAGGAGGACUAAGGCCGGAGAGACAGUACAGGGAGUAAGGUGCUUGUCUUGCACAUGGCUAACGUGGGUUCCAUACCUGGCACCCCAUCGGGUUUCUCAAGCCCUCCAGGAAUGAUCCCUGAACCUGGAGCCGGGAAUAAGCCCUGAGCACAACUGGGUAUGGUCCCAAAACAAAACAACAAAAUUGGACUUUGUGAGCCGGGCACACAGCUCAGCUCUAGAGCACUUGCCUGGCACAUAUGCGGUUUGGUUCCCGGUACUGCUCGAAAUAGAAAUAACAAAACCAGGGCUGGAGAGAUAGCAUAGGGCUUAAGGCUCUGCCUUGCAUGUGGCUAAUGCUGGCUCCAUCCUCAGCACCGCAGAGGGUUUCACAAACACUGCCAUGAGUUAUCCUUGAGCUCAGACCCAGGAGUAGGUCCUCAGCACCACUGGGUGUGCCGCCCCCCAAAAUACAAAGAACAAAAAAGGAUUAACCGUGGUUCCAAUAAAAGGUGACAUCCUUUAGUCUCUCCCCCACAAAAGGUUGGAUUUAAACAGACUUUCUCCAGGAAGUCUUUAGGGUGGGAUUGUUCUCAGUUACAAACACAACACAUACAUUCCAGCAGUGAUCGGGAAACCUCCUUCAUGGCAUAGAAGCCCCAAGUCCCACAGGCAGCCUUUGCUCUUAGUCCUUGAUCAUUUCCACACUGACCGCGCCUUGGCAGAGCCAUACCAGCAAGUGCAGCGACAUGUGAGCCAAUGAUCUCACAAGC